UACGUAGGGUGCAAGCGUUGUCCGGAAUCAUUGGGCGUAAAGAGCUCGUAGGCGGUCUGUCGCGUCUGCUGUGAAAACCUGGGGCUUAACCCUGGGCUUGCAGUGGGUACGGGCAGACUAGAGUGCGGUAGGGGAGACUGGAAUUCCUGGUGUAGCGGUGAAAUGCGCAGAUAUCAGGAGGAACACCAAUAGCGAAGGCAGCUCGCUGGGACGUUACUGACACUGAGGCGCGAAAGCGUGGGGAGCGAACAGG
rnacentral:rRNA from 1 species